rnacentral:piRNA from 1 species
UCUGCUUUUCAGCUUGAAGCCUCAGAAGAA